rnacentral:rRNA from 1 species
AUUGAACGCUGGCGGCAUGCCUUACACAUGCAAGUCGAACGGUAACGGGUCCUUCGGGAUGCCGACGAGUGGCGUACGGGUGAGUAAUAUAUCGGAACGUGCGCAGUAGUGGGGGAUAACUGCUCGAAAGAGCAGCUAAUACCGCAUACGACCUGAGAGUGAAAGGGGGGGAUCGCAAGACCUCUCGCUAUUGGAUCGGCCGAUAUCAGAUUAGAUAGUUGGUGGGGUAAAGGCCUACCAAGGCAACGAUCGGUAGUUGGUCUGAGAGGACGACCAGCCACACUGGGACUGAGACACGGCCCAGACUCCUACGGGAGGCAGCAGUGGGGAAUUUUGGACAAUGGGCGCAAGCCUGAUCCAGCAAUGCCGCGUGCAGGAAGAAGGCCUUCGGGUUGUAAACUGCUUUUGUCAGGGAAGAAAUCUUCUGGGCUAAUACCCCGGGAGGGUGACGGUACCUGAAGAAUAAGCACCGGCUAACUACGUGCCAGCAGCCGCGGUAA